rnacentral:rRNA from 1 species
UACGUAUGGGGCAAGCGUUAUCCGGAUUUACUGGGUGUAAAGGGAGCGUAGGCGGCGGGGCAAGCCUGAUGUGAAAGCCCGGGGCUCAACCCCGGGACUGCAUUGGGAACUGCCCUGCUGGAGUGCCGGAGGGGCAGGCGGAAUUCCUAGUGUAGCGGUGAAAUGCGUAGAUAUUAGGAGGAACACCAGUGGCGAAGGCGGCCUGCUGGACGGCGACUGACGCUGAGGCUCGAAAGCGUGGGGAGCAAACAGG